AUUGAACGCUGGCGGCAUGCCUUACACAUGCAAGUCGAACGGCAGCACGGGUGCUUGCACCUGGUGGCGAGUGGCGAACGGGUGAGUAAUAUAUCGGAACGUACCUUAUCGUGGGGGAUAACGCAGCGAAAGCUGCGCUAAUACCGCAUACGCCCUGAGGGGGAAAGGCGGGGGACCGUAAGGCCUCGCGCGAUUAGAGCGGCCGAUAUCUGAUUAGCUUGUUGGUGGGGUAAAAGCCCACCAAGGCGACGAUCAGUAGCUGGUCUGAGAGGACGAUCAGCCACACUGGGACUGAGACACGGCCCAGACUCCUACGGGAGGCAGCAGUGGGGGAAUAUUGGACAAUGGGGCGAAAGCCUGAUCCAGCAAUACCGCGUGUGUGAAGAAGGCCUUAGGGUUGUAAAGCACUUUCAAUUGGAAGGAAAAAACCAGGGUCAAUACCCCUGGUCUUGACAUUACCUUUAGAAGAAGCACCGGCUAACUCCGUG
rnacentral:rRNA from 1 species